AUGGUUCACAACCAAUUUAUUAAGUUUGAAGGAUGCUACAACAGGCUUGUAGCAGAUGAAGGUGCAAGUCCUUUAAAGGAAUGGGUUUCACUUGAACAUUUGGGAGAUAAACCAUCUAGAAUACGAGCUGCUCAUACUCUUAUCAGUUUACAUAAUGAAGGGACAGGGAAGAGACAAAGAGAAGCUAUGGUAGACUAUUGGUUCAUUGGGGAUAAAUUUGAUGCUUGGAUACAAGAAAGGUUAUGGCCUCCACUCGCAGAAACACCAUCCGGAUCAGUUUUGUGA